GAUGAACGCUGGCGGCGUGCCUAAUACAUGCAAGUCGAGCGAACGGACGAGAAGCUUGCUUCUCUGAUGUUAGCGGCGGACGGGUGAGUAACACGUGGAUAACCUACCUAUAAGACUGGGAUAACUUCGGGAAACCGGAGCUAAUACCGGAUGAUAUUUUGAACCGCAUGGUUCAAAAGUGAAAGACGGUCUUGCUGUCACUUAUAGAUGGAUCCGCGCUGCAUUAGCUAGUUGGUAAGGUAAUGGCUUACCAAGGCAACGAUGCAUAGCCGACCUGAGAGGGUGAUCGGCCACACUGGAACUGAGACACGGUCCAGACUCCUACGGGAGGCAGCAGUAGGGAAUCCUCCGCAAUGGGCGAAAGCCUGACGGAGCAACGCCGCGUGAGUGAUGAAGGUCUUCGGAUCGUAAAGCUCUGUUAUUAGGGAAGAACAUAUGUGUAAGUAACUGUGCACAUCUUGACGGUACCUAAUCAGAAAGCCACGGCUAACUACGUG
rnacentral:rRNA from 1 species